UGAUGCCACACUCUUUCGGCAAUUUCUGUCACAAACGUUUUUGUGGUUAUACGUGCGUACUACAGAAAAAAAAAAAAAAAAAGACGGCGCUACCAUAAAAUCCUUCAUUCUUUCACCGCCCUCGUUGGAAACAAACAUAUUCCGAGUUGUUGCGUUGAAACUACUGUACACUGUCGACGGUGACCAGGAGGACGGAAGGCACCAGCAUGACACCACCUCGACUGUGUGAUGCGGCAGGUGAUGACGUUGACUGAUAUGCUGACGACACAGAUGACGGCCACGAGUUCUACAGUGACGUCAAUGAUAAUAUUAAUAUUGUACUAGUUAAAUAUAUAAGAUUCUUCUAGUACCCGUGUAAAAGUGGUGACCAAAGAAACACGGUGGUAAAGCUGCUGCGUUAUAUUAAUGAAAUAAAUUAUACAAAAGAUAAUCAUGAAGUGAGUCGCCAGGAGCCGCAUGUUCGAUCCUGAGGCCUGGGUGGGCGCGACUACCCAUAUCCACCACCGAGGAAAGGCGGACACAGACUGGGUUGAUGCAGGGGUGGUUGCUGGCCGGGUCAGGUCACGGACAGUGGUUGGUCGAGGUUGGCGUCAGUUCCCAGGGGACCGGAGAAUCGAAUGCGGGCAGUGAGCGAAGCGUCCCGCCACAAUAUUCAUAACUUCCUAGAUAGUACUUUAAUGUCUACAUCAAUAAAUUUUCGCUGGGUUAUGUGUGCUCAUCGUAAACAGACUCUCCUUGUUGGCCAAUAUGCGCUCCUUAUCUUCAAGUGAGUAUCCAUGAACUUUAUCGUGGAAGAAUUAUUAUAUAGUUCUCGGUCAUAAUACUCUACUUCUUAGGACACGGUGACAAUGAAGGCCUGCAAAGAACACUCCUACUUACUGGAUAUCUAUAAAAAUAAAAAUAAAUAAAUAAAUAAAAUAAAAAGUAGUAAUAGUAAGUAAGCAAAUAAGUAAAGAUAAAUAUAUAAACAAUUUACUACUACUAUGACUACUACUACUACUAUUACUACUACUACUAUUACUACUACUAUUACUACUACUACUACUACUACUACUUAUAAUAAUAAUAAUAAUAAUAAUAAUAAUAAUAAUAAUAAUAAUAAUAUUAAUAAUAAUAAUAAUAAUGAUGAUAAUAGUGAUAGAUGGGAAUAGAGCGGGAGGGAGGUACAGUUCUCAUAAGAAUAGGUUAUCAUAGUAUUUAGUACGUAAUAGGAAGGCAAAUCAUAUACUUCAUUACAAACCAAGUUUCUCUCUCUCUCUCUCUCUCUCUCUCUCUCUCUCUCUCUCUCUCUCUCUCUCUCUCUCUCUCUCUCUCUCUCUCUCGUGGAUAUUUAGAUUUCCACGGAUAUCCAGCAAACAUUUAUAAGUUGGGGAUUACAUACUUAAACUAUUGAAAUGUGAAAGACAACAUUAAUUUUUAUUUUAACUGGUACGUUCGUCUUAACCAACAGGCAGAUCCUGAUGUGAUAUAAAUUAACAAUACUCAAGCAGAUAAGAUAGCGCAAUUCCACUGACUGCUCCAGGCUUAUAUAUUAUAAUAGUGACAAAAUAAAUCCUUUGAGUGCUAAUGACAUUGUGACACUUGAUGCAUCAGCUGAGGAACUGUAGAUUAUUUCAUGAAGAAUAAUACUACAGGCAGAAUUUUUUACUAUUUAAUUGUUCCCUUAGUGGUUAUUGUGGUAUUUCAAAAUAAAUAACUUCCAUCAAACAAUUUUAAUGACCUUAAGGGUGAAGCCAUACCCAAUCAUAGCGUUAAUGAGUCUGAAUAUAGUAUUAUUGAAAUGUAUAAUUACCUAGUAACGGUACGUCAGAUGUAAUUCUUAACAAAUUUUUGACCAUGUAGUAUUAUUGCGCCAUAUAGUCGAAACCUGCACCGAGAUAAUGGUCGUGAUGACAACGAUAGUGACGUAGUGAUCAUAUCUUAAAAACAAUCCAUUUCACUAAGGCAGACCUAGUGACUUCAGAUAAGUGCACAUAAUUGUGUGGUGAUUAUCACAAUUUAGUCAUUGGCACUGCUACCAUUAUUAGCUCUAGCAGUAAUAGUAGUAGAAGUGGUGUUCUUAUUAGCGGGGUGGCAGUGGCGAUCCUCCCACACUCCCUCCAGACCGGCUGAGUCACUAAGGGACCGGACAUUCCUAUAGAUAAAACGAGCUAUACGCUGACUGGCUUUAACCAGUGUAGCUUUGUCCUCUGUGCAGUGCACACUGUACUUGCAGGACAAUCAGAGAAUCUUUAACGCCUUGCUUGUGAGUCUUAUAACAACAAAUCAGAUUCAGGGCUGUGACCUCAUCCAGCGUUCUCUUUCUACGCACUCCUGACUGGACGCCGCCAGGGUGAUACGAGCGUGGAAGGAGUCCAGUAUGGACAACCACCAGAACAAGAAUGAAUUCGUGGACCUGUACAACUGUAUUCUGGAUGACAAUUAUUCACUUACUGAACUGGAACAUGUGCUGAAUACAACUGAUGAAGGAUGUGGUAUUUCUACCCAGCAGGGGAUUGGUAUUAAUUACACAGUUCACCCAGAACACCUGAUACAAGGCAUUUUACCAAUGGUGCCACCUGUUCAGGUUCCUGUGAUGAACCCAUCAGUUGCACAACCUGAAACACACAAUGAACAGCAAAUGCAACAUUUAGAAAAGAUGAGUUCGCAACAGCUGAUGCGUACUGAUGUUUCUCAGGUGAAUCAGACUAAGGAAAAAAAGGGAAGAAAUAAGAAACCCAAAGAGCCCAAAAAGUACCAGCAGACGACGCCCUUUAAGGACAGAAAACUUGAGCUUCAGAGGAUCAAUGCCAUCAAGGCCAAGGAAUACCGGGAUAGGAAGAAACACAUGGAAGCUGCUCUAAAGGCAGAGACAGUCCGUCUCCAGUUAGAGCUGAGGAACAAUGAUCUACAGAGGGAUCAGCUGAUAGAGGAGAUAAACCGACUGCGUCAGGAAAAUUACCAACUGAAAAAGGAACUGUCUUAAACUUAGCAACAAACCGAAUGAGGCAAAGUCAAUGUUAUGAGGCAAUGAGACACCCGCUGAACUCUUCAGAUCUUCACCCUGGCAACAAUGAGUAAACUUCAGGAACCUGUCCCUUCAUCUCAUUCCGCGAGUAUAGAAAGCUGCUGCUGCUGAUGUGCUGGAAACUGACGAUCCAAGAGAUUUUCAGACAGAUCCUCACGACGGACUAACCUUUUUGCUUGUUUUCACCACUUACGAGUGGUUCCCAAAGUGGCAGUCCGAAGUCCCAAAGUCAGUCCGAAGUCGAAGUCAGAAGUUCGAACGUUUGUUUGACGAUUUGUACACAACACGUGCAGCAGGACGAGUCAGUGGACGACGCAUCAGGGUCCGGUUACCGCACGCCGCUCUGGCCCAGUCAGAUCCGACAGCAUAUGACUACAAAGCUUGAAAUUUAUAAUUUCAAGCUUGUAAUGUUCAGAAUUUUAUCAUAUAAUAAAGAUAUCAUGGAAGGACGCCAAAGGGUUUUACCAUUAAAUUUAAUUUGGAAGUGUUUCUGUGCUAAGGCUGUCCUUGCACAUGCUUGCACCACUCUUCACAGGAGUAUUUGGUGAUGGUUAAGGGAGGUGGUGGUUAGGGUGGUGCAUUCACUGAUUUAUAUUGUUACGAAUGUAUAUGACUUUGUACCUGUGUGUGCAUGUGUGUGUGUGUGUGUGUGUGUGUGUGUGUGUGUGUGUGUGUGUGUGUGUAUGUGCGUGAUCGCGCGUGUGUCAUUGUGUGGGUGGCGAGGUGUUUGUUUCCAUAUGUGUCUUUGUGUGUGGUGGUGGGGGGGGCGCUAGGAAUUCGCCGGGGAGCCAAGGGGGCGCCAGCCUGCAAAAGUUUGGGAACCACUGAUAUAUAUAUAUAUAUAUAUAUAUAUAUAUAUAUAUAUAUAUAUAUAUAUAUAUAUAUAUAUAUAUAUAUAUAUAUAUAUAUAUAUAUAUAUAUAUAUAUAUAUAUAAGUUUCAACAAGUUGAAGUGCUUGAACAGAGGGUCAAUGUGGGCGUAGCGAUGUCUGUAGGACAUGACUCGUAUUAAUUUCUUCUGGAUGAUAAAGAGAUUCUCAACGUAAGUAUUCCCCCUCCCUAUAUGACUGAGCCACAUAAAAAGAGUGGAUAUGCUAAUGAUAGGUAAAUAUUUCUUAGACAAUCUGUUGUGAUGUUAUUUCUUACCUUGUAUAAUAUACCAAUUAGUUUAUUAAGUUUAAUAAUGACUUCAUGUACAUGCUCUUUAAGUUUUAGCUCUUUAAGUUUUAUUGUCAAUAAUAACCUCUAAGAAUUUGCAAACUCCAACUUGCUGGAGUGAAAAGUCAUUAAUACAGGCAUUUUUGUUCGGUGUUUCCAUCAUUAAAGAUGAUACUAUUAAAUAAGUUUUAUAAAUAUUUAAUGUUAAUUUAUUACUUUAAUUUCAAUUAGAAACUUUAGUUAAUCCAACAUUUAAUGUAUUAGAUAUGUAAUUUAUAUUUUGCCCCUAAAUAAAAAUUGUUGUCAUCCACAAAUAGAAGAAAUUAAUCCAACUAGAAACUUUAGUUAAUUCAACAUUUAACGUAUUCUGUACGUAAUUUAUAUUUUGUCCCUGAAUAAAAAUUGUUGUCAUCCACAAAUAGAAGAAAUUAAUGUACAAUAAAAACAAAAUAGGGCCCAAAAUGGAUCCUUGAGGCACUCCACAGUUAACGGAGGUAUAUGAGGAAAAACGAGUUAUUUAUACUGAAAUGUUUUCUGAAACUUAGGUAAUUGCUGAGUUAUUUAAGUAGUGUGUCGCAGUUGCCAUAUACUUUAUUUUUUUUUCUAAUAAAAUGGAGUGGGAAAUUAUAUCAAAUGCUUUUGAUAGGUCACAGAAAACAUAUCUGAUGUCCCUUGUUAUCAAUAGUGUUGUUUGUGUGUUGACAAAAUUUAUGAAGAGCAAGGUCGGUGGAGAAGUUAGGGCGAAACCGGAAUUGAUUAUCUGUUAGGAUAGAAUGUUCAUAUAUGUAAUGCAUUAGCCUGUUGACUACAACUUUCUCAAAAAUUUUGUUAAAGGUGGGAAGGAUAGAAGUUGGUCUGUGGUCAUGAUUUAUUUUAUCACCUUUUUUUUUUUUUUUUCAUGGAUAGGAGUAACCCUUGCAAUUUGCAGAUGUUCAGGAAAACAACCUUCAUUAAAAGACCUUUUAAUCAUAUAAAGAAGGAAGAGUGAAAUUUCAGUGGAACAAGGCUUAGUGACCUUCAAAUUAAUGUCAUCAAAUCCUAGAGCAGUUAAUUUAAGGUUGCUGUAUAUAGUUUUUAUUUCUAAAAGUGUUGUCGGGCGAAGAAAAAAGGAAAAUGGAGCGGGUUCGGGCAAAUAUGAAGCAUAAGAGACAAGAGUUUGUGGGAUAUUCAUGGCUUAGUUGUUUUUAAUAUUACAAAAGUAAUCAUUACAUGAUUCAGCUUUUUUUUUUGUUCUAACUUAAAGUGCUGUUUUGAAAAGUCAAGAUCUGGCAAUUUAUUACUAGAUUUGUCCAUAAGAGGGUUUAUAAUAUUCAGCUUUCUUCUAAUUUCCCACACUGUCCUGUAAUUCAGAUUUAUAAUAAUUAUAUUUUGCAAUUCUUAUUAUAGAUGUGAGUGUAUUCCUGUAUUGUUUAAAUAUCUUUUCAUACGUAAGUGACCACUUAGCAUACACUUAUGGUGGUUACUCACGUUAAAUAUACUAAUACUUCUGGAGUCACUUAAAUUACUAAAUGGAAGAAAACACUGGUUAACAGACAUUUGUACAAGUUAUUGCAGGCGUUUUACUGGCUUAUUAACCAUCUACUGCCGCCUGUGUCCACGCGAGGACGUCCUCGUAGUACGCUGUGUGGUGCUGUGGGGUUCCAAUCCUGCCGGGGCGACCAGACGUAGAUGUUCCAUCAUCACCAACAGUCGCAGGACUGCUCAACACGAGCUCCCAGGCACCAACAGCAACCACAUCAGUGACGUCACCACGCAUCAUGUUCUCAGCACCGACUACACUACAUCGCCACAGACAGAAGUGUCAGUAGGUGCAGCACUGCUCUUCUGGCUCGACCUGCGGCCACGAGUGGCAGCACCACUACCGUCGCCGCCACGAGCAGAAGCGGCUCUAGCUUGGCCAAUGGCAACAAAACGGGCGAAAAAAAAAAAUAAAUAAAAGCUUACUGAAGGUUCAAGUUUGUACACAGACGGUCCGAAAGGAGAGCGACGCAAAGUGGCAGGGUUCUCUGAGGUUAUUUCAGUGCAUUUCUCGUACCAGCUGUAAACGGAGGAGAGUUGCCAGCAAAAUGAGCACUUUUUCUUCACUUCACUCAAAUAGAGUACCUUCACUUGUGACUUCAGCCAAGUUGGGAUCUGCAAACCAGCAUGGACCUUCAGGAUUCGCUAACAGUCCUCAAGCAGGCAUGCAAAUAUAAAUCUGGUGUGGGGCUGGCUGAUCUCCGGUAUUCCGGUCGAAAUGUUUUGUUUUUCCUAUGAUUUACUGAGCACUUGCAUCUAACUUUGAACCGUUAGCUUUUUAUCGUAGCUACUCGUGAAAUAUAUCAUGAGAUUUCCUUUCCUCAAAA